ensembl:piRNA 21ur-4093 ncRNA
AUUGAAAUUGGUAUCUUGUUC